GCGAUUAUACAGCGAAACUGCGAAUGGCUCAUUAUAUAAGUUAUCGUUUAUUUGAUAGUACCUUACUACUUGGAUAACCGUGGUAAUUCUAGAGCUAAUACAUGCUAAAAAUCCCGACUUCCAGAAGGGAUGUAUUUAUUAGAUUCAAAACCAAUGCCCCCUGGGCUCACUGGUGAUUCAUGAUAACUGCUCGAAUCGCACGGCCUUGCGCCGGCGAUGGCUCAUUCAAAUUUCUUCCCUAUCAACUUUCGAUGUUUGGGUAGUGGCCAAACAUGGUUGCAACGGGUAACGGAGGGUUAGGGCUCGACCCCGGAGAAGGAGCCUGAGAAACGGCUACUACAUCCAAGGAAGGCAGCAGGCGCGCAAAUUACCCAAUCCCGACACGGGGAGGUAGUGACAAUAAAUACUGAUACAGGGCUCUUUUGGGUCUUGUAAUUGGAAUGAGUACAAUUUAAACCCCUUAACGAGGAACAAUUGGAGGGCAAGUCUGGUGCCAGCAGCCGCGGUAAUUCCAGCUCCAAUAGCGUAUAUUAAAGUUGUUGUGGUUAAAAAGCUCGUAGUUGAACCUUGGGCCUGGCUGGCCGGUCCGCCUCACCGCGUGCACUGGUCCGGCCGGGCCUUUCCCCCUGUGGAACCCCAUGCCCUUCACUGGGCGUGGCGGGGAGACAGGACUUUUACUUUGAAAAAAUUAGAGUGCUCCAGGCAGGCCUAUGCUCGAAUACAUUAGCAUGGAAUAAUGAAAUAGGACGCGCGGUUCUAUUUUGUUGGUUUCUAGGACCGCCGUAAUGAUUAAUAGGGACAGUCGGGGGCAUCAGUAUUCAGUAGUCAGAGGUGAAAUUCUUGGAUCUACUGAAGACUAACUACUGCGAAAGCAUUUGUCAAGGAUGUUUUCAUUAAUCAGGAACGAAAGUUAGGGGAUCGAAGACGAUCAGAUACCGUCGUAGUCUUAACCAUAAACUAUGCCGACUAGGGAUCGGACGAUGUUAUUCUUUGACUCGUUCGGCACCUUACGAGAAAUCAAAGUGCUUGGGCUCC
rnacentral:rRNA from 1 species